rnacentral:rRNA from 1 species
GGGUUGUGAGGUUAAGCGAAUAAGCGUACACGGUGGAUGCCCUGGCAGUCAGAGGCGAUGAAGGACGUGCUAAUCUGCGAUAAGCGUCGGUAAGGUGAUAUGAACCGUUAUAACCGGCGAUUUCCGAAUGGGGAAACCCAGUGUGUUUCGACACACUAUCAUUAACUGAAUCCAUAGGUUAAUGAGGCGAACCGGGGGAACUGAAACAUCUAAGUACCCCGAGGAAAAGAAAUCAACCGAGAUUCCCCCAGUAGCGGCGAGCGAACGGGGAGCAGCCCAGAGCCUGAAUCAGUGUGUGUGUUAGUGGAAGCGUCUGGAAAGGCGCGCGAUACAGGGUGACAGCCCCGUACACAAAAAUGCACAUG